rnacentral:rRNA from 1 species
UAGGGAAUCUUGGGCAAUGGGCGAAAGCCUGACCCAGCGAUGCCGCGUGUGCGAAGAAGGCCUUAGGGUUGUAAAGCACUUUCAGUUGCGAAGAAAAGCUACGGUUUAAUACGCCGUGGUCUUGACGUUAACAACAGAAGAAGUACCGGCUAACUCCGUGCCAGCAGCCGCGGUAAUACGGAGGGUACGAACGUUAAUCGGAAUUACUGGGCGUAAAGCGCGCGUAGGCGGUUUGAUAAGUGGGAUGUGAAAGCCCCGGGCUCAACCUGGGAACUGCAUUCCAAACUGUCAAACUAGAGUGUGGUAGAGGGAGGUAGAAUUUCCUGUGUAGCGGUGAAAUGCGUAGAUAUAGGAAGGAAUACCGAUGGCGAAGGCAGCCUCCUGGACCAACACUGACGCUGAGGUGCGAAAGCGUGGGGAGCAAACAGG